CGCAUCUGUGCAUGCAGCAUAUCAAUAAGCGGAGGAAAAGAGGGCUAUUACCUACGCUUAGGAUGUUGACACACGCGCGUGCUCGGCUCUAUACAUGACUCUGCGCAUAUCAAUAAGCGGAGGAAAAGGCUGCAGAACUGAACGACCGCUACCUACGCUUAGGAUGUUGACACACGCGCGUGCUCGACUCUAUACAUGACUCUGUGCAUAUCAAUAAGCGGAGGAAAAGCAGUUCUAUGAAAAACAGCCACGAUCAGCCGGGCUGGAACUAUACCUACGCUUAGGAUGUUGACACACGCGCGUGCUCGGAUCUAUACAUGACUCUGUGCAUAUCAAUAAGCGGAGGAAAAGAAACUAACAAGGAUUCCCUUAGUAACGGCGAGUGAAGCGGGAAGAGCUCAAAUUUGAAAUCUUCAAGGUUUUACCUUGACGAAUUGUAGUUUAAAGAAGUGUUUUCUGUUGAAGUUUUGGUAAAAGUUCUUUGGAAUAGGACAUCAUAGAGGGUGAGAAUCCCGUAUUUGACCAUUAUUUUCAGCUGUGUGAUACACUUUCAAAGAGUCGGAUUGUUUGGGAAUGCAGUCCAAAAUGGGUGGUAAAUUUCAUCUAAAGCUAAAUAUUGGCGAGAGACCGAUAGCGAACAAGUACCGUGAGGGAAAGAUGAAAAGAACUUUGAAAAGAGAGUUAAACAGUACGUGAAAUUGUCAAAAGGGAAGCGUUUGACACCAGUGUUGUUUUCUCGAAAAUCAAUUAAAAAGAGUUUGAUUUUGUUGUGCAUUGACCUUAACAGCUUGCAUUUCAAUUUUCUUGCUUUUUUUAAUGCACUUUUCGUUUAACAAGUCAACAUCAGUUUCUUUUGUUGUAAAAAGGUCAUUGGAAGGUGGCUUUCUUUUCGGAGAAAGUGUUUAUAGCCUUUGACUCCUGCAAUCGGAGAGACUGAGGUCUGCAGCGUAGAUCCUUCGGGGUUAGAUACAUUUGUGCUAAGUUAUAGCUUUUUAUAGACAACUUGUUGACUAUGAUUAGUCUUGUAGCUUACUCGCUUAUGCUAUUUUACCUACGCUUAGGAUGUUGACACACGCGCGUGCUCG
rnacentral:rRNA from 1 species